rnacentral:rRNA from 1 species
CCUGCUCAGAUUGAACGCUGGCGGCAGGCUUAACACAUGCAAGUCGAGCGGUAACAGGAGAAGCUUGCUUCUCGCUGACGAGCGGCGGACGGGUGAGUAAUACUUAGGAAUCUGCCCAGUAGUGGGGGAUAGCUCGGGGAAACUCGAAUUAAUACCGCAUACACCCUACGGGGAAAAGGGGGCGCUUGCGCUCUCGCUAUUGGAUGAGCCUAAGUCGGAUUAGCUAGUUGGUGGGGUAAAGGCCUACCAAGGCGACGAUCUGUAGCUGGUCUGAGAGGAUGAUCAGCCACACCGGGACUGAGACACGGCCCGGACUCCUACGGGAGGCAGCAGUGGGGAAUAUUGGACAAUGGGGGGAACCCUGAUCCAGCCAUGCCGCGUGUGUGAAGAAGGCCUUUUGGUUGUAAAGCACUUUAAGCAGUGAAGAAGACUCUAUGGUUAAUACCCAUAGACGAUGACAUUAGCUGCAGAAUAAGCACCGGCUAACUCUGUGCCAGCAGCCGCGGUAAUACAGAGGGUGCAAGCGUUAAUCGGAAUUACUGGGCGUAAAGCGAGCGUAGGUGGCUUAAUAAGUCAGAUGUGAAAUCCCCGGGCUUAACCUGGGAACUGCAUCUGAUACUGUUAGGCUAGAGUAGGUGAGAGGGAGGUAGAAUUUCAGGUGUAGCGGUGAAAUGCGUAGAGAUCUGAAGGAAUACCGAUGGCGAAGGCAGCCUCCUGGCAUCAUACUGACACUGAGGUUCGAAAGCGUGGGUAGCAAACAGGAUUAGAUACCCUGGUAGUCCACGCCGUAAACGAUGUCUACUAGUCGUUGGGGAACUUGAUUCCUUAGUGACGCAGCUAACGCAAUAAGUAGACCGCCUGGGGAGUACGGCCGCAAGGUUAAAACUCAAAUGAAUUGACGGGGGCCCGCACAAGCGGUGGAGCAUGUGGUUUAAUUCGAUGCAACGCGAAGAACCUUACCUGGUCUUGACAUAUCUAGAAUCCUGCAGAGAUGCGGGAGUGCCUUCGGGAAUUAGAAUACAGGUGCUGCAUGGCUGUCGUCAGCUCGUGUCGUGAGAUGUUGGGUUAAGUCCCGCAACGAGCGCAACCCUUUUCCUUAGUUACCAGCGGUUCGGCCGGGGACUCUAAGGAUACUGCCAGUGACAAACUGGAGGAAGGCGGGGACGACGUCAAGUCAUCAUGGCCCUUACGACCAGGGCUACACACGUGCUACAAUGGUAGGUACAGAGGGCUGCUACACAGCGAUGUGAUGCGAAUCUCAAAAAGCCUAUCGUAGUCCAGAUUGGAGUCUGCAACUCGACUCCAUGAAGUCGGAAUCGCUAGUAAUCGCGGAUCAGAAUGCCGCGGUGAAUACGUUCCCGGGCCUUGUACACACCGCCCGUCACACCAUGGGAGUUGAUUGCACCAGAAGUGGGUAGCCUAACUUUUAGAGGGCGCUCACCACGGUGUGGUCGAUGACU